AUCGAACGCUGGCGGCAGGCUUAACACAUGCAAGUCGAACGAGUGGCGGACGGGUGAGUAAUGUCUGGGAAACUGCCUGAUGGAGGGGGAUAACUACUGGAAACGGUAGCUAAUACCGCAUACCAUCAGAUGUGCCCAGGUGGGAUUAGCUAGUUGGUGGGGUAACGGGUCACCAAGGCGACGAUCCCUAGCUGGUCUGGGAGGAUGACCAGCCGCACUGGAACUGAGACACGGUCCGAACUCCUACGGGAGGCAGCAGUGGGGAAUGUUGCGCAAUGGACGCAAGCCUGAUGGAGCCAUGCCGCGUGUAUGAGGAAGGCCUUCGGGUUGUAAAGUACUUUCAGCGGGGAGGCGUUACCCGCAGAAGAAGCACCGGCUAACUCCGUGCCAGCAGCCGCGGUAAUUC
rnacentral:rRNA from 1 species